CUGAUCAAAUCCCAGAUCGAAUGACGUCAGAGUUGCUUGGUUUCUGACAACAGUUUAUCGAGGAUCCGGAAAAAAGGAGUAAAUCUUCAUCAAAUUCUUGUAUAGUCACGCAACAUGCCUGACUCAAAGGCUGCAGAGAAGGUAGCGGUGAAAGUGGUGGCACGAUGUCGACCUUUCACAGAUAUCGAGAAAGAGAAAGGUGCUUCAAGAAUUGUCAAGAUGUCUGGAGACAAGACUACAUUGCAGAAUCCACAACAGGGCGGCACUGGAAAGGAAGCUGUAUUUGCUUUUGAUGCCAGCUACUUCUGGGAUACAAGAACAAGUUUGGUAUACAAAGAGCAAUGUGAACCCUUAUUGAAGAGAGCAAUGGAGGGCUAUAACGUCACUAUCAUUGCGUUUGGACCUACAAACAGCGGCAAGACCCAUCUCAUGUCUGGGCCUAUGGAGGAUCCAGGUCUUGUUCCAAUGAUCAACCGAAGUCUCUUCAAGCAGAUCAAAACCUCAAAGAAGCAGUUCCUUGUGACAGCAUCAUUUCUGGAGGUGAUGGAUGAAAGUAUGACUGAUUUACUCAACCCCCACACCGACGACAUGCAGAUCAGACAACACCCUCAGAUUGGAAUAUUUGUUGAUGGUCUAUCGGAGCUUGUAGUGAAGAGCGGUGAAGACUUGUCCAGGUACUAUGACCAGGGAAGCAGAGCUAGGAAGAUGGGCGCUGCUGAUAUCAAGGCGCACAGAGCAAGGGCUCAUGGUAUUUUCUCGAUCGGUAUCGAGCAGAAAGAUGCAGAUGGUGGUCGUGGUCUUAGGAGUAAGAUCGUCCUAGCUGAUCUGGCUGGUUCAGAAAGCGUUCAGAGUAAAGACAAAGGACUUGGUGCCUUGGGGGAUGUGAUCAGCGCCCUCGGCGAUCCUCGGAAGAAAGGGGGCCAUGUUCCUUACAGGGAUUCAAAGGUUACACGUUUACUGCAGGACGCCCUUGGUGGGAAUGCCCACACGCUGAUGUUCACGACCAUCUCCCCGUCCGAUACGUGCUACAACGAGACCCUGACCACCCUACAGUACGGGCAGUACUGCAAGAACAUCAUCAAUCACCCAGCAAUAAAUGUGGAUGAUAGUGAACGACUGACCAAUCAACUUCGCGAGGAGAUUUCUCGUCUGCGGGAAAAGCUGACCGGUACUUCACUGACCGAAGCGGGAAGCAAAGAAGAUGUGGCCAAACUGCAGGAUUUGAUAAAGGAUCUUCAGAUUGCAAAGCGUCAAGGAUGGGAGGAGAAGGAGAGACAAUCAACUCAGUAUGAAGAGGAGAGGAGAGAGAACCUCGCUAAGAAGGGUAUUCUGCAGUGGGUAAUGGCGGAGAGCGUUCAUAGAGACAACAGAGAGAUGCAGGAAAGGAUCUUACUCAUGCAGAAAGAAAAAGAUCAGUUGCAACAUGAAUACAAGGACAAACGAUCAUUAGUGGAUAGGCUGAAAGAGGAUCUCCAAGCUAAGAUUGUAGAUUACACCAAUAUGGCCGAAAGUGGUAAGGGAAGUGAGUCAGAGACAAAGGCAAGGGUGAAUGCCAUCCACGAGGUGAAAGAAAUGAUCAAGAAAGAAAGCGAGAAUCUGAAAGACGUCAAACAUAGACUCAAAGAACUUCAAGAAAGACAGAAGAGGGAGAAAGAGGAUAUGAGAAGCCAGCAUGCUGAUCUCCACCACAACUCAGAGCUGCGUCGCCUGGCCCGGGCUGAGGAGCGCAAGCGGAUGGAGGCGGAACAUGCCCUCUCGCUGGAGGAAGAACUUGAGAGAAUGCGCAUGGAGGUCGAUCACCAGAAGGCUGAGAUUCAGUUAAGAUCAGCCAACGGAGGAACAGGGUACAGCCAGGAACAGGCCAUGCAGAUAGAGAUGAGUCUGGUGAAGGAGAGAGAGGAGCGUCGGGUGGUGACCAUGCAGCUCCAGGCCAUGGACGCGGAGAAGGCCCUCCUCAUCGCAGAACUCGACGAGGCUUAUCUCAAACACAAGGAGGAGAUGGAGAUUCAACAGCUUCAGCAUUUCCAGACAUUUCGUAACUACCGGGAGGCCUUUGAGGAGCAGAAGAUGGCUCUAGAGCAGCGAUACCGGACCCUGUUAGAGGAUGCCAUCCAGGAUGCUGUCUUUCUCUCCGCAAGGAACUCUGAACUGGAGCAAGAGAAUCAAGCUAUCAAACAAGAUGUUGCCGAGUUGAAAGACAAGGUGUCCAUGCUGGGAGGAAGUUCAAGAAGCAGGCCGUCGUCAGCAGCAAGCUUACGCUAGAUCCCCAUUCCAUGGGAGCGACCAACGUCCACAAACACAGAGGGCAGAAAAUGGAAAGAGACGGGGAACAAAAUUUUCGGGGGCUCGGAGUGAUUCCCGCCAUGAAAUGCUCAAAAGAGCCCUUAAAGGACAAGUCCACCCCAACAAAAAGUUGAUUUGAAUAAAAAGAACAAAUCCAACAAGCAGAACUCUGAAAAUUUCAUCAAAAUCGGAUGUAAAAUAAGAAAGUUAUGACAUUUUAAAGUUUUUGCUUAAUUUCACACAACAGUUAUAUGCACAUCCUGGUUGGUAUGCAAAUGAGGAGACUGAUGACAUCAUCCACUCACUAUUUCUUUUGUAUUUUAUUAUAUGAAAUGGGAAAUAUUCUAUUUUUCUUCUCAUUGUCAAGUGAAACAACGAUUAAUUCCUCCCUGAACAUGUGAAAUUAGCAUCGUUUAAUACUAUAUGAUUCAGUCAAGUUGGUCCUUUUUUUCAAAUCUAUAAAAAAUGAAAUAUCGUAUAAUUCAAACAAUAAAAAACAAAAGAAAAAGUGAGGGACAUCAUCGACUGUCUCAAAUCACUGUUUUGUGAAAAAAUAAGCAAAACUUUAAAAUGUCAUAACUUUCUUAUAUUACAUCUGAUUUUGAUGAAAUUUUCUGUGUAAUGCUUGUUGGAUUUUUCUCUUUUUAUUCGAAUCAACUUUUUGUUGGGGUGGACUUGUCCUUUAAAAAUUGACCUAUCAUAAAAAUAUAUUCUUUCAACACCUGCAUAGUAAUGCAGCCUCACAUUUAAAUGAAACUCGGAAUUAAGCCCCUAUUUGCUCCUAGUUCUUUUAACUUCUCUCUCUGAAGUUUUUCACACUGAAUUAAAGGAGAAUGAAAUCCUUGAAACCAGCUGAAUCCAUAUCAAAGAGAAAAAUCAAAGGAACACAUUGUUGAAAGUUUGAGGAAGAUUGAAUGAAUAAUAAGAAAGUUAUGAGCAUUUGAAUAUUGAGAUCACUAGAUCUCCAUAGCAUUAGUGAUCUCGACAUUCAAAUGCUCAUAACUCUUUUAUUGCUAGUCCUAUUUUACUCAAACUUUUGUUGAUCUUAUUUUUUGAUUUUUCUGCUUUCACAAAAGCUAACUUGCUCCAAGAGUUUCAUUCUCCUUUAAGUACAGGUAACUCUGCCUAAGUCAAAUCUAUUGGGAUUUCACUUAGCCAGAGAAGCAUCCACCAUGAACUUGAACUUGCCUUAUAACAACAAACUGAUGUGGGAAUCAUUUCACCAGUGGAGUAACAAAGGCCGGAAGAUUAAACCACCAAAAAUAUUUACGCUCAAACAGUAUGAAGAUCAGACAAUAAUACCUCGGUCACAUUUGCUCUACGGCGGCCGUACGGCGAGUCGAAAUUAGCCGUUUUAUCCAUUUUUAUUCAAACCACCUAUAUGUAGCUGGUACAAAAAUGUUAACACAGCUGUUUUCGAUUCGCCGUAGAGCAAAUGUGACCGAGGCAUAAAUAAUAUGGGGCAUUUAUAUAGUCGUAAUACAAAAUGUCUUGAAGCACUGCAUCGAGAAUUCAAGGAAUUCCUUCCUACCGGGUACCCUUCACUCCCAAAAGUGAGUUGAUUAUUGCUUAUGUCCACAGUUGCAAAUGUUUAUGAAUGAUAUCUACUUUGCAUUUCUGCAAAAUCUUAUAAUGCAAGUAUUAUUUCACUGUUUUCUCUGUGGAGCAAUUUUGUUCAUGGAAAAAAAAGGUUUUUCAAGCAUUUGACAAGUUGCAGACUUUUUCACGUACACAUACACUUCAUAGAAUAUUGUUCGAUUUUAUAGUGAAUGUAUUUUGAGAGGGAUAUAUCAGAUAGAUUUAUAUGGAUUAUUAAUACAGAUUCAGCCUUUCUAGAUGUGAUUUUAUUUAUUGCACUUAUCAAGAAAGGCUAUAUUGACAGAAUUGUGAGUGUGCUCCAAAUAUUCUGAGAAUUCACCAAGUGAUAUUAACGUUCAAUGAUUUAUGCAAGAAUUAAUACCACCACCUUGAUCAGCAAAUCCUAAUAUCUCAUCGCAAUUCCGUCCUAUUUAUGAUUGUACAAAACUUGAAUUAUGCGCUGCUAUUUUUAUGAAUAUUGUUAUCAUAUAUUUUCUGGAAAUAGAAAUAUGUAAAUAUUUUCUUAAAUUUUGCUCUAUUUGCUGUGAGUUUCUUUUUUACAAAAAAAAAAUCAAUCUUGAAUUGAAUAUUUAUUAUCUGUAUAUUUGUAAGAGUGAUUUAAAAAAAAUAUUUUGUUAUAUACUUGUAGGCAAAUCAUAUUUCAUUGAUUGAUGUAAAAAUUUAAACUGGUAUGUCAAAUAGAUUUCAUUUUCUAGUUGAUGCAUUACUGUAAAGUAAUUAUGACCUAAUUGACCAACUCAAGUAUAUCAAGAUUUUUUUCUCACUUUAUGUAUUGUGGAGAAGAGUAAUACCAUUAUUUGUCACCCCUCCCCACUGUAUCAAUCUUUGAAGAAUGAUUAGAUGAGCAACAUGAUGAAUAAUUGAUAAACAACAUGAUGAAUAAUUGACAUAUAUUUUGUUUGUCUUACAGUAAUCAUGGUUAGAAACAUAAUAUCAAAUGUAAUUUCUUAGAGUAUAUGUAUGUAGUUCUAUUGUCUUUUUAUAUUAAAUUUAUUUAAUAUCA